GCAUGGUGGUUUUUAAAUCUUUUUUGUUGAAUAACGUAUUUUUGCUUUUAAAAUAACUUCGACCACAGCGAAUUAAAUCAAUUUUGUUAAUCAGUGCAAAUAGAACCAGAACCGAUUACUCUUACAAGACUGUUAAAAGGACGGAAAGAUACCUAAAUAUAAUCGAGAUAUUAGACCUUUUGUGAUUCUAACCUUUCUAACACAAACUUAGACUAUAAGGAUGUCUUCAACUUCUUUCGGGGUGUUUUGUGACAAAUUGUCCGCAGAUCAAUAACAUCGCUUCCGUACCAUUUUUUUCAUUUAUUUUAUUUCAUUUCCUUUUUUUGCUUAUGUUUCCUUGUUUUCCGCUCCAUGUUAUGGGUGUAUGUGUGAUCUCGAUCUCUUCUAUGCCCUUUUCUCUCUCUCCCUUCUCCUUCCCGACUGUGAAUGUUCAAUUUUCUCUUUAAUAACUGUAUCGUGUUCUCCCACCAAUAUGCAUUCUGUUUUCUUGUUUCUUGCACUUGUUACUAAAAAAUAUAAAAAAGAAGUUGUAACUUUGCUGAAUAUGUCUCCCCCCAUUCUCUGUUGCUGUUGCACACAUACUGCUCUCGCUGGUUUUCUUCCCUCACAACGGUGCGAAUAGAUAUAAUAGGCUGUAUGAUAAUAGUAAUAAUAAAUAGAGGAAGCGAACACAUAUCCUUCUUGGUUUAAAUGUUUGUUUUCUCCCCCUUGUUUUUGUGAUCUUGCAACUCCAUCAAUUCUGCAUGUUGCACAGUAGUACACACACCCAACAGAAGUGUGUGUGUGUGUGUGGGGGGUUAUAAUUGGUUGCCCGGCUUUAACACGUUUGUCUAAUAGUAUUAUUACGUCUGCACGCCAUCAAGUGAACAAGCAAAACAAUCGAAGCAAAACUGAAUUGCCAAACGAAAACAAAAUAUCAAAACAAGAAAAGAGCUAACGUAACUCUGUCCCUCCGUUCGUCCCGCGGAAGCAAAUCGGGCGCACGGUUAUUCAUUUCUUUGUGGUUUUUGGUGGCCACAACUGUCGCCACUGUCACUGCAAAAGUAGUAUGUUGAUGGUAAUGUGUGUAACUGUUUAGAGUUUGAGAUGAACGACGUGGCGUGACGCUCCCGAGCGAUGCAACGCGCACGCAAAAGGUUUGAAAGAUGAUCGAUAUCGUGCGCAUCACAUCAAACCCCGGGAGAGCGGAAGGGUGUCGGGGACAAUGGGCUUUACAUUAUGCUAAGUGUCCUUUUAUAUGGUUGUUGCAGUGCGCACUGUGCUGGUGGCUGACAGGCCCGAACGGAAUGGUUCAAAAUCGGGUAACACAAACAGCCCCAGACACGCACAUCGUCAUUUGAGUGAGCGCAGGCACACUUCGUACCCAGAUUCGCACAUUGUUUUACUUUUGCAGUUUUUUGUUUUGUUUGUUGUGAUCUCCCGUUUUAUUAUUAGUUGCAAUUGUUCCUUCCUUCUUUUGCGUUUUGUUUACCUAAACAUCGUUUCAUUAUCUGUAAUUAUACAUAUAUAUUUCCAUUCACCCCACGUUUCUUCCGCAAGCAAGCAGCAGCAGCAGCAGUAGAGCGUGGCGCGUGAUAUUGUCCUUCCCCAUUCAUGUCUUUAGAGUCUCCUCCUCAUCGAUGUUUGUGAAUGUCACCAGUUUUAUCCUUGCUGUAAUUUUAGUCGCGUGUGAAAGAGUGUGUAUGUCUAUGUGCUGUCUUUACUCGUUUGUCUUUCCGCUUUCCGAACGGAAAACCACAGGGAAAGCAUUGAUAAUUGCACAUGCAACGUGGACUUAGGGACGACAAUAAUAAUAAUAAUGCGGUAUUGCCUAUACGCACACGGUUUCGUCCCACAAGUGUUGGGGAGACAGGUCAUGCGAUGGAUGUUACACGUUCGAGUACGUUGUUACAUGCUACAACAGAGAAAGGAGUGUACACGCGCGCACGCACUUUUGAGGAGGCUUAUAUUUCAUCCUUUAAAUGUUUCCACACCUUCGUACCCUGCCUGCCACACACACACACACACGACGCAUUGCCUAUUCUCGCGCCCUUAUCAAAACCUCCUCCCAAUCGUGUGAGUGUGUACGUGUGUGUGUGUGUGUGUUUGU